UCCCGGUUGGCCCGGGCAGUCUCGUUUGAAAAAUUCAACAAACGAUAAGGGUUGCGCUCGUUGCGGGACUUAACCCAACAUCUCACGACACGAGCUGACGACGGCCAUGCAACACCUGUCACUGCGCUCCCGAAGGCACUCCCCUGUUUCCAGGGGAUUCGCAGGAUGUCAAGCCUCGGUAAGGUUCUUCGUGUAGCGUCGAAUUAAACCACAUGCUCCACUGCUUGUGCGGGUCCCCGUCAAUUCCUUUGAGUUUUAAGCUUGCGCUCGUACUCCCCAGGCGGCAGGCUUAUCGCGUUAGCUUCUCAGCCCAGAGGGUCGAUACUCCGAACUAAUAGCCUGCAUCGUUUACGGCGUGGACUAC
rnacentral:misc_RNA from 1 species